rnacentral:rRNA from 1 species
AUUCCAGCUCCAAUAGCGUAUAUUAAAGUUGUUGCAGUUAAAAAGCUCGUAGUUGGAUUUCUGACAGGGGGCCGAACACCACUGUAGUGAGUGUUUUGGUACCUGUCAUCCUUCUGUUAACCCUAGCGUCAUUCAUUUGUCGUUGGGCGGACCAGAUACUUUACCUUGAGAAAAUUAGAGUGUUUCAGGCAGGCCUAGCCGGAAUACAUUAGCAUGGAAUAAUGGAAUAGGACUAUAGUCUCGUCGUUGGUUACGUGGACUGUAGUAAUGAUUAAUAGGGAUAGUUGGGGGCAUUCGUAUCGCGGUGUCAGAGGUGGAAUCCUUGGAUUACUGCGCGACGAACUACUGCGAAAGCAUUUGCCAAGGAUGUUUUCAUUA